AUUGAACGCUGGCGGCAGGCCUAACACAUGCAAGUCGAGCGGAUGAAGGGAGCUUGCUCCUGGAUUCAGCGGCGGACGGGUGAGUAAUACCUAGGAAUCUGCCUGGUAGUGGGGGAUAACGUCCGGAAACGGGCGCUAAUACCGCAUACGUCCUGAGGGAGAAAGUGGGGGAUCUUCGGACCUCACGCUAUCAGAUGAGCCUAGGUCGGAUUAGCUAGUUGGUGGGGUAAAGGCCUACCAAGGCGACGAUCCGUAACUGGUCUGAGAGGAUGAUCAGUCACACUGGAACUGAGACACGGUCCAGACUCCUACGGGAGGCAGCAGUGGGGAAUAUUGGACAAUGGGCGAAAGCCUGAUCCAGCCAUGCCGCGUGUGUGAAGAAGGUCUUCGGAUUGUAAAGCACUUUAAGUUGGGAGGAAGGGCAGUAAGUUAAUACCUUGCUGUUUUGACGUUACCGACAGAAUAAGCACCGGCUAACUUCGUG
rnacentral:rRNA from 1 species